rnacentral:rRNA from 1 species
UUCCGACCCGCACGAAAGGCGCAACGAUCUGGGCACUGUCUCAACGAGAGACUCGGUGAAAUUAUAGUACCUGUGAAGAUGCAGGUUACCCGCGACAGGACGGAAAGACCCCGUGGAGCUUUACUGCAACCUGAUAUGGAAUGUUUGUACCGCUUGUACAGGAUAGGUAGGAGCCGAAGAGACGUGUGCGCUAGCAUACGAGGAGGCAAUGGUGGGAUACUACCCUGGCUGUAUGACCAUUCUAACCCGCCACGCUUAGCGCGUGGGGAGACAGUGUCAGGUGGGCAGUUUGACUGGGGCGGUCGCCUCCUAAAGAGUAACGGAGGCGCCCAAAGGUUCCCUCAGAAUGGACGGAAAUCAUUCGCAG